UGUGAUGGGCAGGUGCAGGCCCUCCGCAAGCUGUCCGCCGGAGCUGCCCCAGUGGACCUGCCCGCGGUGGAUGCAUGGACGCACGGUGGACGCAUCUCUGACUUCAUCUCGGCUGAGGGCCCCCCGUCCUGCCCUGGGAACAGCGGCAAAAGGAGAGCUUUCAGAGCCAGUUGCUCACUGUGCAUCCCACAGUGGAAGUGGCUCCAUCUUCUCCUCCUCAGGGGUCCUGAGCAGAUCUGAGCAGGGCCCAGCGGUGUGGCCACCCUGCAGGGUGUGCGUGUCAAAGCCCAACCCCCACCUGAAUUGACGAAGAAACCGGUGAGCUGGUCUAGAGGGGCUGCCUAGUGCCAACGCUGGACAGAGGCCACUUGAAUGAAAGCUCUCAGCCCUGCUUCUGUCUACCGCAUGGAGAUGCUGCCCACGGCCACAUGUGUGAGCCCUGGAGCUGGAGUCACACCCAGGUCCUCCAAAGGUGUGGGAGCCUCACGCUCUGGAAGGAUGCUCCACCCUCCUGCCUUACAGACAGCGAUGCAGAGUUGAUGAAGAACAUUUAACCUUGACACCCCAAAGGGCAGCUGUGAUAGGGCUGAGUGAUGAGAACCAGGAACAGGGGGCAUCUACACAGGACUCCGGGAAGCCUGUUCUUAUUCACGUAACAUCUUCAAAAUUAUUUUGGUGCGCUAUUCAAAGUCUUCUUACGCACACACUGUCAGCAGAACUUUGUAAGCCACUGAGUGGUGCCUGUUCAGAUCAGCGUCAUAGUCGUCUCAAGCAGGAAAUCAGUUAAUUUCAAAAACACUUCGAUUUUUUUCACCUAGUUGAUGGCAUUUAAGUACAGCAUCUGGAUAUUUAUUACAUGUGGACUGUCAGCAGUGCUGUAGAUUCAGUUAAAAAUAAAGGCCACCUUCAACACUGAGAUUUUGUUUUGGACGUGAUAAAAGUAAGACAAAGUUUGGAGGAGUGCGACACUACGGUUAAAAACACAGUAUUUUGACUAAAUGAAGAAACCCAUUAUUAUUGGGAAUUUUUGUGGUGCCCACAAGCUCCUAAUUGCAUUUAAACCAGACUGAUAUGCAGCCAAUAGGGAUGGAAGGUAUAGUUGUCAAAAUGUACAAAUAUUUUUAUACACGUGCAGAAUGACUGAACUACACAAUUUCUUGCAAAGGUAUGUAAUUAAAGGAAAAAAACCUUCAGCACAGCAGCUUGCAGUUUCUCUGCUGCUUUUUUCUGGAGCUCAGAAAUGUCUGGGCCUUUGAAGAAUUCCUGUGAAGGCACUGAAUGUUCUUGAAGACAAGUCUCUAGAUUUUGGUUAUAUUUUAUUUAAAUUCAUUUUGAGAUUUUUAAUCUACCUAUUCGAUAAUCAGAAUGCCAAAGCCCUUGAGCUUUUGAAUCUUUAAGAGUCGUAAUGAUUGAAGACAAAGUUCACAGAGUUAGUACAACGAUGCUCGCCCCUCAGGAAGCGAGGAGGAAAACGACGAUUUUAACUCGAGGGACUCAGAGGGCAACGUCUGACUUCAGAAUUGUGUACUUGUACUUUGGAAAGUUGUACUGGUGGGAAGAAUGGUUUGGUGCAUUUAGGUUUAGUAGGAUAGAUUUAUAUUCUGAAAAUGAAUGGAACAAAGUUGAGACGGCAUGGAAAAGAAUCGGGUGCGGGGACCACGUAUGCAAAUUUUGCCUCAUAAAUGUGUUCGUUGAAGAAAGGCCCGAAUACAGCACCUGGGAGAAUUUUUGGGCUGAAAUAUUUACACAUGUAAGUAAAACAAAGACAAAAACCUGCAAACAAAUGGAUGUAAGAGUGUGACUAUUGGCCACGUGGCAGAAGCGGCCCCGAGCUUAUCUCGUACCUCACCGUCCAUCAAGAGGGUAUUUUCUGAGAUAAAAGAAUGCUAUGGUCUACGGAGAAAGGGCUCUUGGAGCCCUCAAGAAAUUCAAAUUAAGUAACAUAAAUUUGAUGAUUUGCCAGCAAUUUCAUGAAAAAAGAGGUCAUGCUGCGAAAAACACUAGUGACAAGAAUCAGUGAUCCGAGGUGCUGAGAGGAGCACGCAGUAGGGUGAAUGUAAACUCACCAUUUUGUUCCUCUUGAGUGUCACAUUUUUAGAAAACUCUGUUUUCCAACAGUUUUUGAAUGGAACUGUUGCAUGGGUCCCUCACUGUGAUGCAGCCCCCUGCAGGUAAGAGGCACAGGGCCAGCCUCACAGCCUCAGUUACUGUGGGCGCCCCGCCAUGAGGGCGGGAAUGGGUGGGCAGCGGCCCUCCUCCCCAGCUGCGCCCUCGGACUGGGAGUCCCCCCUCCUCCACCCUGACUCAGCCCCCAGAGCUCCCAGGGACCCUCUGCGGCCACCCGGGCGGGGUGGGGCCCUGAACUCAGAGCUCCCACCGUUUUUACUGAGUGAUGACCUGGUUUGUGGGGAAGGAUCCCAGGUCCCCUGCCUGGUGGGGCCGAGUGUGGUUCUGUCCCUGCUAGUGACGCCCCUCGGCCCCAGAGGUCGGGUCUGUGCGGGGGUACCUCUGUGGGCCCUUCCUUGGACCCCCGACUGUCCCCUCCAGGUGCAGAUCCCGGGACCUCCACCUAGACACUCUGCCGGGUUGUGGUGGAGUCCCGAGAAGGCCCUGCGCGCCCAGGCAGUUCUCUGCUGCGCCUCUCCUCUUCUGGGCUGCAGUGUGACCCUGCCGCCUCUUUCCUCUUGCAAGGAGCAGGCUCAGACCCUCCCUGUGCACCCAGAUGCAGGGCAGAAGGCGCGGCCGAGCCCUCAGGCUAUUGGGGAGAGAGGGCUGGUGGCUCCACACCCACUGUGCGAAGGACUCUGAGCUUUGGGUGGCAGCGAGCCUGCUGGCCUCGGCACACAGGGUUUCGUGGUGGGGGGGGGCAGAGGCAGGGGUGGUCACAGGGAGGGGCUGGCCCGGGUGUGAGCGGCCUGCCUCGUGGUGAGGCGCCUGUGGAAGGCUUCACUCCCAGGAGGAGCCCUGGGCACAGGCCUGGCUGGCCGACCCCUGAGAGGGUGAACGAGGCGUGUGGUCAGCAGGCGUGGCUGAGGGGCCUGGACCAGCCUGGCUCCUUCCUGCCUUUCAGAGCCCCGAGCUCACCAGGGCUCCUGCUGCUGCAGCAGAUGGUGGGGCCUGAGCCGGGGGCUCCCAGGAGCCCGGGGCCCCUCAGGAGGCCCAGAGCUGCCUGGUGGAGGGUGGGAGGUGGGGACGUGGCGUAUGCAGUCCUGGCUGGCUGGCCUGCCCGUGGGAGGCCUGGUGGGCUGACUCAUCGCGAGCUGAGAGCCCAGCAGAACGGGGCCCAGCUGUUCUGAGCCUCCGGGAUAUCCCAUGUUGCAAACUGGAGCUGGGAGGGGGAGGAUGGGCUCGCUUCCUGCCUGCUGACCUCCCUGGGAAAGGCUGUCUCCGUCCGUCCGUCCGCUCGCUGGUGCAGGGUGGGGGCCCCAGGCGCAGCCAUCCCCCGGUCCAGGCUGUACUGCCAGGCCCUGAGGAGUUCCUGGGGACACGAGCCUUUUGGUGCUAAAGCCAUGAGAGUCCCAAGCACUUGGGACACUUGGUCCCCUAGUUGUGGAUGCACAGCAGAAAAACAUUCACUGCUCCAGACAGGAUGGCCCGGGGUGGGGAACCUGGGGCUCCUGGAAAUUGGGGUAACAGGCCUGAGGUCCUGAAGUCACCAGGACCGGGAGCUGCACGCUCUGCAUGGAGGAGGUGGCCGUGUGCACCCAGAGCUCCAGCCCAGCAGGGGCUGGGGCCAGGCCCGGCAACGAGCCAGCACUCCCUCAGCCCCGCACUGCAGGCACCCUGGGCAGUCUUCGGCUCUCACACCUGGCAGCCAUUUUUGCAUGACCAGAACUGCUGGGCUGUGUGGCAUUUGGGCCAAAUGAGGGCAUUGAGGAUCCCCAGUUCUUCAGGGCUCCGGGAACCCCAAACCCCGCACUGAGCGUGUGCCCAGAGGCAGAUCCUCGCCCUCUGCACUGAAGCUCGGGCUCCUCUGGAGGCCCUCCCUCAGCUGCUGUCCCCUCCCGCUGCCCCCGACCCUCUGGCUAAGCUCUGGCCACUGCGGGCUCCCGCUGCCGCCCUCUCUCUGCCUCACUGCCCCGUGGGCCUCUCCUUCCGUGUGUCCUCAGUCUUCUUACAAGGACGUCGGUCCUUGGGUUUAGGGCCCACCCUAUCCAGUACGAUCUUACCUGGAUUGUUAACUAAUUACAUCUGCAAAGACCCUAUUUCCCAACGAGGUCACAUUCUGAGGUUCUGGGUGGGCAUGAAUUUCCAGGGCGGGGGACCCUGUCCAACCAGUGACACCUAUGCGGUGCCACGUUCAGCAGGCGGUCCAAGAAGCUGCGGCGCCCGGCUUCCUAUUUAGCAAUGCCUGGCUUGCGGGGAGUCUGUGCUGUGGGGCCGGGGCUGUAUUGUAGCCCACGAGCCCGCCAUUCUCCCGCACCCAGGGCACCUUCCGACCUGCCCACUUGCUGCCCCCUCCUCCUCCUCUGCCCCGCGGGCCUUCCGCCGGGAUCCGGGAGCAACAGGCCUGGAAAGGGCCCCGUAGGAUUCCCUGCAGGGCGAGUCUGAGCUGUGGGACUCUCGGGUUCUGGUGUUCUGAGCAUCCCCUCCUUCCUGGCGGGCACUCCCGCUGGCGUUUUGAAGAUGGCCUCUCACGGGCUUCUGGACGCCAUUCCCGCGGGCGGCACGCCGGCCUCCGUGCUCCGCUUUGGAAACUAGUCUGUCUCCUUGGGCGGCCCUAUGGCGCCUGCCUUUCUUCCUGGGGCUUCACCAAGGUGAGUCUGGGUGUGGGCCGCUUUGUGCUAACCCUACUUGGGCUUCGCUGGUUUUCCGGAGGGACUGAGAAGCCCCUGUGUGAUUCCAUCAGUCCGGUACGAUUCCCAGGCACCAUCCCUUCGAAUACUGCCCAGCCUCCCGUCUCUCCCCAUCAGUGUGGCCGGACCGUGGCUCUGCCCCUCCCGUUCCCCAUCUGCUCGCCUUCCUGUGCCACCUGCUCUAUAACAUCUCUGACCAGUUCUCUGGUUUGCCAGUGCGCCUGCAGUUGAAUUGAAUAUACGAUGAACAUAAACAUUUAAUAAACGAUCUUGAUCAUUACAUCCUUUAUUUCCAGCUUUCUCCUUGUUUUUAUCAUAUCAACUCAUUUUUAAUGGUUUCCUGUUCACUGUGAGCUUUUCAAUCUGAAUUUUAUUUCUUUAAACUUAACGGAAACAUAGCUGUUUAUGCGGAGUGUCUGAGUUUCCAGGGUCCGGGGUCUGGGGGUCUUUCUCUGCUGCCUGUUCUCUCUGCUGCUGCCCACUCACUGGGUUCUGCUCCCUUUUGCGUUUGUCCCGGGACCUGCCUGUUGCCCCAUAAAGUCUGGUGGAGGCCCUUUGAGGUCUAGGGGGAGGUGGAUUUCAGCGGGGAGGUUCGGCCCUGCUGGGCCCUGGCCUCCGCAGACCCAGGCUCAUGGUGAUCUGAAUCCACCGAGAGACUCCUUUGCAGCAUCAGCUGUGGGCCUGUGCGGCAGAGCUCUUGGGUCCGCAUUUCCGGGGAGAGCCAGUGCUGUCACUGGGGGGAUCCCAUGAGGAGUGCAUCCCUCGGACCCCGCUGAGCAGGCCAGGGCCGCAGUGCCCGUGCCUUGCAGUCAGCUGCUGAACCCCGAGGCCCCCUCGGUCCUGCCGCCGGCUCUCAGUCACAGCGCCUUGUGGCCCUGCCCUCAUCUGCAGGCCUGCCUGGUGGCUUGCGGGCUCCUUACCCUUCAUGACCCUCUGAUCCCUGCCUGAACUGUUGUUCCUCAGCGAGCUUGGUCUGAUGAACCUCCCUGUCCUGUCCCCAGGGUGUUCGUGAAGGGCAGUCCUGGCCGCCUCCCACGUCCCCACCGUAAGCCAGUGUGAUGGGCUGUGUGAGACCGCGCUCCCCCCUCAGUCCUUCCUCACUAGCACCACCUACCUGCGUCCAAGACCACUGUCCCCUGCCUGCUCUUGAGGUAACCUCCCCGUGGCUCCCCGGCACCAGUCUUGCUCCCCGGCUGUCAGAGGUCUUGGAAGGGGGCACCUGUCAGUGCUGCCCCUUCUCGGCUGUGCACCCCCUAUGGCUGCCCACAUGCAGGGUGAGGUGGAGCUUCUGCCCAUGCCAGCAGGGCCUGCGUGCCAGCCUCUAGCUGUCCCUCCAACCCUGCCUUCUCCCUCACUCACCUGGCUCUGCUGCUUUGGGCAUCUUGGCACCCCACCCAAUGCUGAGACCACUGCCUCCUGGAGGCCUGGAAGGUUCUUGAAGACUGGCUGCACCUCUUCAUUCAGGUCCUUCUCAACCACACCUCCUCAGAGAGGCCUUCCUGGUCAGUCUGUCCAGAAGCUCCGCUGUUCUCUGUCCACUCCUCUCCCUUCUUCCACUUUCUUCUUCAUUUUAAUUCCACUGUUCACCAUCUGACAUUCCAUUUGUCCCUCCUUCUGUCUUUGCUGGUCUGUCUCCCCAUCUAGAGCAGAGGCUCUUUGGCUUCUCAGCACUCAGCACACUGCCUGUACCCAGUAGGUGCUCAAUAAGUACUUGAGGGCUGAAUGAAAGCUCUUGGCCUCUCUGCGUGCUGCUCAGAGGAAGAGGGAUGGGGGUGAGGACAGAGCUCAGUGGUGUCUGUUUCCAAACAGACUUUAGCAGGAGGAUUUGGAGGCCAGGGGCAGGGGGAGUUUCUAUAUUCAGGGUUUGUGACUCAAUCUGCAUGCUCCCCCUUGUUAAAAACAUUUUUAUUCUUUUAAAGUUUGUACCUCUGACCACCUUCACCCAUUUCACCUACCUUUUCCCUGACUCUGGCAGCCACCAGUCUGUUCUCUGCCUCCAUGAGCUUGUUCCUUUUAGAUUCCGUGUGUAGGUGAGAUGGGGCAGUGUUUGUCUCUCUCCCUCUGACUUACGUCACUUAGCACAGUGCACUCAAGGCCCAUCCCUGGUGUCACAUGUUCCUGAUAACCAUUUAUAUGUCUUUGGAAAGACAGCUAUUUAAUUCCCCUGCCCACUUAAAAAUCAGACUCUCUGUUUGUUUGCUGUGGAUUGUAGGAGUGCCUUAUAUAUUUUGGAUAUUAGCCCCUUACCGGAUGUAUUAUUUGCGAAUAUUCCCUCUGAUUCCGUAGGUUGUCUUUGCAUUUGGUUGACGUUUCCUGUGCCGUACAGAAGCUUUUUAGUUUGAUGUCAUCCCAUUUCUUUUUACUUUUGCUGCCUUUGAUUUUGGUGUCAGAUCCAAACAGCCAUUGUUAAGACCAAUGUCAAGAAGUUUACCAUCUAUGCUUUCUCCCAGGAGUUUUAUAGUUUUAGGUCUUACAUUCAUGUCUUUCAUCCAUUUUGAGUUAAUUUUGUGUAUGGUGUAAGAUAAGGGUCCAUUCUUUUGCAUGUAGCUGUCCAGUGAUCUCAGCACCCUUUAUUGAGAGACUGUCCUCUCCCCCUUGUAUAUUCUUGGCUCUUUUGUCAUAAAUUAAUUGAUGAUUUAUGAGCAGGUUUAUUUCUGGGCUCUCUAUUCUGUGCCAUUGACCUAUGCGAAUGGUCUUCUAUUGAUGCCAUACUGUUUUGAUGACUGUAGCUUUGUCACAUUAUUUAAAAUCAGGUACUGUGAUGACUGCAUCUUUGCUCUUCUUUCUCAGGAUUGCUUUGGCUAUU